UGCGUAGGGUGCGAGCGUUGUCCGGAAUUACUGGGCGUAAAGAGCUCGUAGGUGGUUUGUCGCGUUGUUCGUGAAAACCGGGGGCUUAACCCUCGGCGUGCGGGCGAUACGGGCAGACUUGAGUACUGCAGGGGAGACUGGAAUUCCUGGUGUAGCGGUGGAAUGCGCAGAUAUCAGGAGGAACACCGGUGGCGAAGGCGGGUCUCUGGGCAGUAACUGACGCUGAGGAGCGAAAGCAUGGGGAGCGAACAGG
rnacentral:rRNA from 1 species